GUCACAGAAAUGUGUAGCGUGAGAGAAAAAUAAUAUCAUUGUAUAACAAAAUUUGGGUGCUGUGCCUGAUUAAUUACAUGGUUCGUUUCAGGUCGAUCCUGUGUGACACAAAUAUAUAUAUAAGAUAUAUAGUGUGAGUCUAUAUAGAAUGAGUAGUAGUCUGAAGCAUGUAACGUAGGUGGUUUCGAUUGGUUCAAAAUUAUUUUUACAGAAAGAAAUGAAGGGUCGACUUUGAUCCUGAGAUUUGUAUGUCAUACAUCUGAAU
rnacentral:misc_RNA from 1 species